rnacentral:rRNA from 1 species
UUCCGUAGGUGAACCUGCGGAGGAUCAUUA